rnacentral:rRNA from 1 species
UACGUAGGGUGCGAGCGUUGUCCGGAAUUACUGGGCGUAAAGAGCUCGUAGGUGGUUUGUCGCGUUGUCCGUGAAAACUCACAACUCAAUUGUGGGCGUGCGGGCGAUACGGGCAGACUGGAGUACUGCAGGGGAGACUGGGAUUCCUGGUGUAGCGGUGGAAUGCGCAGAUAUCAGGAGGAACACCGGUGGCGAAGGCGGGAUCCUGGGCCAGUACUGACGCUGAGGAGCGAAAGCGUGGGGAGCAAACAGG